UCGAGCGGAUGACGGGAGCUUGCUCCUUGAUUCAGCGGCGGACGGGUGAGUAAUGCCUAGGAAUCUGCCUGGUAGUGGGGGACAACGUUUCGAAGGGAACGCUAAUACCGCAUACGUCCUACGGGAGAAAGCAGGGGACCUUCGGGCCUUGCGCUAUCAGAUGAGCCUAGGUCGGAUUAGCUAGUUGGUGGGGUAAUGGCUCACCAAGGCGACGAUCCGUAACUGGUCUGAGAGGAUGAUCAGUCACACUGGAACUGAGACACGGUCCAGACUCCUACGGGAGGCAGCAGUGGGGAAUAUUGGACAAUGGGCGAAAGCCUGAUCCAGCCAUGCCGCGUGUGUGAAGAAGGUCUUCGGAUUGUAAAGCACUUUAAGUUGGGAGGAAGGGCAGUAAGUUAAUACCUUGCUGUUUUGACGUUACCGACAGAAUAAGCACCGGCUAACUCUGUG
rnacentral:rRNA from 1 species